CUUCCUAACAAAGGCUGAGUAAGAAACUGGGUUUCUGACCUCUCUACCCCAGCAAGCUCAGAGUCCCCUGCCUUUCCUCUGUUCUGGCUCUGUGUGUUUGCAUUACUCACUCUGUGGUUAGAAGUUCAGGCCCACAGACAGAAGGGAUUAGCCUUAUCUCAGAUGAGAUUUUGGACUUGGACUUUUGAAUUAAUCCUUCAAUGAGGUCUGCAGGAUGGACCCGGCAGCUGGUGCCCUGUGUGAGGAACGCUGCAACGGACUGCGACAGAACCCUCGAAAACGAAGGUGAAGAGACUGUGCAGUCAUGUGACAGACACAUCAAACCAUACCAUGGCGUGGCUAAGACCCAAGCUGGUAUCAAAAAUAAAGGAAACGACGCUGCAGGACCCGCAGCCCCAGACGAUGUGGCUUCCUCCGAUGACACAGGCCCCAGACAUUACCUGGGGGAAGCUGAAGAAGACAACUCAGGAGGCCGAGAUGCAAAGCCGGAACACGAGCUGUAACCGCUGCGCCUGUCAAAUCUGUCACUGCACACAUCUGUACUAUUCAAUCAACAAAACCCGAUGCUAAAAACAGAAAAGGGGGAGACGCGGGAGAUCGGUCAGAGUGGUAGGAGAAGGUAUAGGGAAAGGAACAGACCUUCUGAAAGGCGGGAAGGCUCUGGAUAGCUUCAGGGAUGAAUAAGCUGAAGGCAGCUGUUCUCUUACCCUGAGGCAGAGGGCAAGGGGUAGGUAAGGAAGUAUAGGGGAAUUUGGCAUAAACAGGCUUGUUUACUUACAUUGUCCGGAAACCGACUUUGAUCAUCAGGGCAGGAGACUGCUCCCUGAAAGGGGGAAUAAUAAUGUUAAUUACCCACAGAUUGUGUUGGCUCCAGGCUUUCAUUAUUUUGUCUGUACUGAAUAAAAGCAAGCAGCUCCA
rnacentral:lncRNA from 1 species